AUUGAACGCUGGCGGCAGGCCUAACACAUGCAAGUCGAGCGAGCGGCGGACGGGUGAGUAAUGUCUGGGCAACUGCCUGAUGGCGGGGGAUAACUACUGGAAACGGUAGCUAAUACCGCAUACAAUCAGAUGUGCUCAGAUGUGAUUAGCGAGUUGGUGGGGUAAAUGCCUAUCAAGGCGACGAUUUGUAGCGGGUCUGAGAGGAUGAUCCGCCACACUGGGACUGAGACCCUGCCCAGACGUCUACGGGAGGCAGCAGUGGGGAAUAUGGGGCAAUGGGGGGAACCCUGAUCCAGCCAUGCCGCGUGUGUGAAGAAGGCCUUAUGGUUGUAAAGCACUUUAAGCGAGGAGGCGUUACCCGCAGAAGAAGCACCGGCUAACUCCGUGCCAGCAGCCGCGGUAAUAC
rnacentral:rRNA from 1 species